UGAACGCUGGCGGCAUGCUUUACACAUGCACGUCGAACGGUAACAGGCCUUCGGGUGCUGACGAGUGGCGAACGGGUGAGUAAUGCAUCGGAACGUACCCAGAGGUGGGGGAUAACGCAGCGAAAGCUGUGCUAAUACCGCAUGUGAUCUGAGGAUGAAAGCGGGGGACCGAGCAGCAAUGUUUGGCCUCGCGCCUUUGGAGCGGCCGAUGUCGGAUUAGCUAGUUGGUGGGGUAAAGGCCUACCAAGGCGACGAUCCGUAGCUGGUCUGAGAGGACGACCAGCCACACUGGGACUGAGACACGGCCCAGACUCCUACGGGAGGCAGCAGUGGGGAAUUUUGGACAAUGGGCGCAAGCCUGAUCCAGCAAUGCCGCGUGCGGGAAGAAGGCCUUCGGGUUGUAAACCGCUUUUGGCAGGAACGAAACGGUGUCCGCUAAUACCGGGCGCUAAUGACGGUACCUGCAGAAUAAGCACCGGCUAACUACGUG
rnacentral:rRNA from 1 species